ACAUUGUUUAUCAGUUAGUUAAUGUUUGUUGCUGCGCGGUUGGCACGUCGCGCCUUUUAACGCGCACGCAUUACAGUUACACUUGUUUUUUUUUUUAAAUGUUCGUUGUUGCAUUUGCCGACGUCGCGCGCAGUUGGCGUGCUUUUUAAAAAAAAAACUCGCUGCAGCCGCAACAACAAAAAGUGGAAAUUCGAAACUAAAACUCGACGCUGAAACCGUUUUGGUCGAAGACAAGUGCAA